rnacentral:misc_RNA from 1 species
UCCCGUUUGUGACGGGCAGUCGGGCCCGCACAAGCAGCGGAGCAUGUUCUUUAAUUCGAUGCAACGCGAAGAACCUUACCUGGGCUUGACAUGGUGCUGCAAGCGCACGGAAACGUGUGACCUUCGAGGGUGCACCACAGAUGCUGCAUGGCUGUCGUCAGCUCGUGUCGUGAGAUGUUGGGUUAAGUCCCGCAACGAGCGCAACCCUUGUCGCGUGUUGCCAGCAUUAAGUUGGGGACUCACGCGAGACUGCCGGUGACAAACCGGAGGAAGGUGGGGAUGACGUGUCGUUACCUUA